UUUCCCCUGCGGUGCGCGUUAAGGUCUUAUACUCUUUGAACCAAUAUAGCUGAUCUGGUCGCCGACUCAAGCAGCACCGGUGUGCGCGUCCGACAUGGAAGCGCCUGAAGGGCUCGGAAGGUGACCACCUUGAACCUUUGGUUCAAGACGCAGGCCUGACGGCACAGGCGGGGGUCUC
rnacentral:other from 1 species